UACGUAGGGUCCGAGCGUUGUCCGGAAUUACUGGGCGUAAAGAGCUCGUAGGCGGUUCGUCGCGUCGGCUGUGAAAUCCCGAGGCUCAACCUCGGGUCUGCAGUCGAUACGGGCGGACUGGAGUUCGGCAGGGGAGACUGGAAUUCCUGGUGUAGCGGUGAAAUGCGUAGAGAUGCGGAGGAACACCGAUGGCGAAGGCAGCCCCCUGGGCUGACACUGACGCUCAGGCACGAAAGCGUGGGGAGCAAACAGG
rnacentral:rRNA from 1 species